CCUACGGGAGGCAGCAGUGGGGAAUAUUGCACAAUGGGGGAAACCCUGAUGCAGCAACGCCGCGUGAGUGAUGACGGCCUUCGGGUUGUAAAGCUCUGUCUUCAGGGACGAUAAUGACGGUACCUGAGGAGGAAGCCACGGCUAACUACGUGCCAGCAGCCGCGGUAAUACGUAGGGGGCGAGCGUUGUCCGGAUUUACUGGGUGUAAAGGGAGCGUAGGCGGCAUUUUAAGUGAGGUGUGAAAUACUCGGGCUCAACCUCCGUGCUGCAUUGGAAACUGGACGGCUAGAGUGCAGGAGAGGAGAGUGGAAUUCCUAGUGUAGCGGUGAAAUGCGUAGAGAUUAGGAAGAACACCAGUGGCGAAGGCGAUUUUCUGGACUGUAACUGACGCUGAGGCUCGAAAGCGUGGGGAGCAAACAGGAUUAGAUACCCGUGUAGUC
rnacentral:rRNA from 1 species